rnacentral:rRNA from 1 species
CGCGCAGGUGGUUUCUUAAGUCUGAUGUGAAAGCCCACGGCUCAACCGUGGAGGGUCAUUGGAAACUGGGAGACUUGAGUGCAGAAGAGGAUAGUGGAAUUCCAAGUGUAGCGGUGAAAUGCGUAGAGAUUUGGAGGAACACCAGUGGCGAAGGCGACUGUCUGGUCUGUAACUGACACUGAGGCGCGAAAGCGUGGGAGGCAAACA